CCUCCGCCGGGCCGAGCGGCGGGCAAGAGCGGGCCUCGGGGCGGCGGCGGCGGCGGACGCGGCCUGAGGGAGCGGCCGGCUGCCGCCUCGCCCGCCGCGGGGUCCAUGGCCUGAGCGGCCAUGUCCGGCGUGGUGCGGACCCUCAGCCGCUGCCUGCUGCCGGCCGAGGCCGGCGGGGCCCGCGAGCGCAGGGCGGGCGGCGGCGGGGCCCGCGACGCGGAGCGCGAGGCGCGGCGGCGCAGCCGGGACAUCGACGCGGGGCUGGCCCGCGAGCGGCGCGCCGUGCGGCGCCUCGUCAAGAUCCUGCUGCUGGGCGCGGGCGAGAGCGGCAAGUCCACCUUCCUCAAGCAGAUGCGCAUCAUCCACGGCCGGGAGUUCGACCAGAAGGCGCUGCUCGAGUUCCGCGACACCAUCUUCGACAACAUCCUUAAGGGCUCAAGGGUUCUGGUUGAUGCACGAGACAAGCUUGGUAUUCCUUGGCAGUAUUCCGAAAAUGAGAAGCACGGGAUGUUCCUCAUGGCCUUUGAGAACAAAGCGGGGCUGCCCGUGGAGCCUGCCACCUUUCAGCUGUACGUACCUGCUCUGAGCGCGCUCUGGAGGGAUUCUGGCAUCAGGGAAGCUUUCAGCCGGAGGAGCGAGUUUCAGCUGGGUGAAUCAGUGAAGUACUUCCUGGAUAACUUGGACCGGAUUGGCCAGCUGAAUUACUUUCCUAGCAAGCAGGACAUCCUGCUGGCGAGGAAGGCCACCAAGGGCAUCGUGGAGCAUGACUUUGUCAUCAAAAAAAUCCCUUUCAAGAUGGUGGAUGUGGGCGGCCAGCGGUCUCAGCGCCAGAAGUGGUUCCAGUGCUUUGAUGGGAUCACGUCGAUCCUGUUCAUGGUCUCGUCCAGUGAGUACGACCAGGUCCUCAUGGAAGACAGGCGCACCAACCGCCUGGUGGAGUCCAUGAACAUCUUUGAGACCAUCGUUAACAACAAGCUCUUCUUCAACGUCUCCAUCAUCCUGUUCCUCAACAAGAUGGACCUCCUGGUGGAGAAAGUAAAGACUGUCAGCAUCAAGAAGCACUUCCCAGACUUCAAGGGUGACCCCCACAGGCUGGAGGACGUCCAGCGCUACCUGGUCCAGUGUUUCGACCGGAAGAGACGGAAUCGCAGUAAGCCACUCUUCCACCACUUCACCACCGCCAUAGACACCGAGAACAUCCGCUUCGUGUUUCACGCUGUGAAGGACACCAUCCUGCAAGAGAACCUGAAGGAUAUUAUGUUGCAGUGAAGGAGGACGCCCCUCACUCUUGUGGUCCUUCAGCAGCCUCGCCGGCCACAGGCCAGAUCUCCCCGGUGUCCCGGAGCGGGUUUCCCGAAUCCGUGCCCUCAACACCUGGCUCAGGGAUGCCGUGAGGCCCGCCACGCUCUAGGCCAAAGGACGUGACACUUUGAUGUUAGCUACUGAAUCCUGGGGACUAGUGAAACUACUGAAAACCCGAGCGAUCACUCUGGUAUUAAUGUGUAAUGCUUAAUAACACAGCUUUCUUUCUUUUUACAGAAACUAUUCCUUCUCUGACACAAUGUAAUCGAGGACUGCGUGUGUGUGCGCGCACACUCUGUCUUUAAUGACAGAAACACGAAAACCUACAUCUCUGCAGAUGGCUUUUCUCUCUUAACUCGAGAGUGCUUGGUUCAUUACUUGUCGAUCACAGUUUUUAUUUCCACGUGGGACACAGGAGCGCUGUCACUGAGUGGAUGCCUCUAGAACACGACUUCAGGACAAGGAACAGGGCAGAUACAUGUAAAGACACGUGUGUGUGUGAAGGAGGGAUCCUGCUGCCCUGAGACCUGGGGGCCCGAGGAGAGGACCUGGUGAUGGACGUGGACGUGGCCAGAGACAGGAGGCUGGGGCAAGCCCAAGGGAAGGCAAGGGUGGGAACUGUUUCUCCGCAACCCCGUGGGGUGACCGUCCCCAUCACAAAACGAAGACACCUCUGAUGCAAAGUGCGAAUGAUUCCCAGCCGACGGAGCUCGUGGCGCUCAGGAUUCUCUUGUAGAAAAGGCACGUAUGUAUUGUCCAGUGGCCAUCACCCGGGUAGGCGUUGUGUGCGUCCACAUGUGGGGAAGGCAGAACUGCCCCCCCGCCCCCAGAGAAACUUGUACUCGUCAUUAUCCAUGUGGCUGAGGGCUAAGGUCUUUGAGUUCCAGUUUCCCCAUUUGUAAAAGUUGGAUCAGAUCACGAUGCUCAGCUCUGGCGCCGCAGUCAGGUCACCUGAGGGGCUUUGCAGAGCCCUGGGCUGAGCCACCCAGAACCUGUGCAGUACAGGCAUCACAUGGACGCACUCCUGGUUUCCCAGGUGGUUGCUGUGCAGCCGGGGUCACAGGCCAUGAAGCAGAGGACCAUGGAGGACUCCCUCCAGGCCGCUGGAAUUGUGGUCCACAACGUGCUGGCCCCCGAAUCCUCCCCUUGCUGUGACCUACGACCUGCGUCAGGAAGAAAGUGAUGCUGGGUUUUCUGUUGUGGUUUAAGUGAAGAGCAGAAGUUCCCACUAAGCCUUCAGCAGCAUGUCGGGUGGUCCUUUCAGGCCUUUGGACGCCACCUUCUCCGUAAGGUACAUCAGAUGCGCUCAGCAACCUCAUUCCUCAGGGAUGCCCGGAAGUUUAGAGAGCUCUGCUUGAAGGAAAGGACGAGCCCUUUAAAGUCUGCCUGGCGGCGCUAGGGAGAGGUGGGCCUUGCGUGUGGGAUCCCUGCGUUUCACGGACUCGGCAUUCGGGGCGGGCGCAGGCCCUGGUGCCAAGGUUGGUGCUGGGCCUGCAGCUGGCGGGGGGCUGAGAGCUCAGCCCCCCUGAGCAAGGGCUGCUUUACUGACUGCGUUUGUGAGGCGCCUGCUGGGCCCUGAAGAGGGUGGUGGCGGGUCCCCAGAGGAAGGAGCUGCUUGGUUAAGGCGGCUCAGAGGCUGGCACUCGCUGUGUUGACAGCCCUUAAAGGCAGGUGGCACGCGGUCCGUGCUGAGUUCAGGGAAGGGGAAGGCUCGCUGUGGGUGGAGGGGAGCCCCUGGGGCGUGGAAGGGCCACUCCGCUUCCUCGGUCCCACUCUUGGUGUGUGGUUCCUACCUUCUGCUGGAGGAGGACUUCACGGCGCGCGAGGCCCAGCUGUUCGUGUGGGCCCUCACUCUCCUGCCAGGUCCCGCCCUCCGGAACCUGCUGGAACUAGAGGCUGGGUGUUCGCUGGCGCACAGGAUGGCGCUGAACUAGGUGGUUUCGGUUUCCACACCAUGUUGGCACCUCUUCAGGUGAAAACCUACUUCAAAGCACAACAGGUUGCUACCUGCCAGAAGCACCCCCAGUGCCCGCCUCUCGCUGGAUGGCAUGGGAUGCGCCACACCCAGAGCGGCUCCUCGGUGUGGACCGCACACCUGCAGGGGUUCUGCUGACCCUGACGGUGGUCGUGAGCCCCUAGGAGAGCGGAGCGCUGCUCAGCGUGGGAACUUGCUACGCGAGGCUCCCGCCCCAGGUCACCGCAGGAAGGAGCGGGAUGUUGCCAGCCCGAGUGAGUUCUCAAGCAUCCUAGCGGGAUGGAUGUUCCCGGGAAUCGGCGUCUGAGUGCAGCAAGAGGGUCAGGCAUGUCUCAACGACGUCACAAGUACAGACUGCAGUCUGGAUGAAAUGCAAGAACACAGCUGAGUGACAACGUCGAGCCUCCAGGGUCACCGCAGAAAAAAUGUUGUAGGCCUCGCUUCUGCUCGGAGCGUGUGACAAGCCGGGGUUGAGCUAACGGGAGCCCCACUUUUACCGGCUGCUUCAGGGAGAAGCGGGAGAGGGCCGGGGAGGCCCGAGGACAGAGGAAGAAAGAGGAGUGUCGACCUCUGCUCCCAGAAGCUCCCGCAGCCUGGGUCCCGCUCACCUGAGGCACUGCGAGAAACAGUGAAAAUAAAUCACCUUUUGUGGCUCAAAGGCUGAAGGAGGGAAAGAGGAGGAGCCGGUCGGCCUUGGCGGGUCAGUGCUGCCCCGGGAGCGUCCCGCCUCGUCCCGCCUUGUCCCCGUGGCAGGUGAGUGCGGACUGCAGGCGCCGCAGCGGCCUGGGAGUGGGUUUCCUGACUGGUUCCCCGCUGAUCACCGGCCAGUGAGAGGCCGUCAAACAGACAUCCCCGUGGUGACCGCGGGACACCAUAAGGACCACACGCUGUCUUUAAAAAGUGUCCUCCAUCUGCAACUGAUGAAGCCCGUGGAGGAAGUGGCUUGUCCCUCCCCACUUCAGAAUGCUUUUUUGGGACACUCAUCACAGUUGGGAGCCAAAGGCCACGGUUGCAGACAGACAGCACUAAGAAUCUCGUAACGACCCCCUUGAGCUCCCUCCCUCAGUCUGAGCCAGGCUCUUCUCUCUUCGUCACCUGUGUGUGUACUUACAUCAUUCCAGUCGUUAAUCUUUUGCAGAAGAAAAACAGGUAAGAUUUUGCCGCAGGUAUGAUGGCCAACCUGAGCAGCAAAUGCUAACUGGGGCAGGUUUUUCCUGUUUUCUCACCUCCCGAGCUCUUCCAGAACCUCACCACACCCCUAUGAGGAGGUGGGAUCUGCAUCCCCGCCCUGUGUGUGAGCCGGGGUGAGCCUUUCAGGCGGCCUUAACGGAGGAUGGCUGGGUCCCGAGAGGCUACACGUCCUCCACGUGACUCCAGGAAAGCCCUCCUUUGGCAGCCAGCCGCCCGGAAGCCCAAGCCACCCGGACAGGACAAGGCCCUGGCCCUCGGCCGUCACACGGCAGCCCUGUGAGUGAGCCGCCCUAGAGCAGGACGCUCCAGCCCAGCCCCAGGGGUACGCUCUGUCCACACUGCAGCUGAGCUGGGUAGGUUGCUGGGGUUUCAAGCCACUAAGGGGUGAGUGGUUUGUUCACAGUGGCAGACACCGAGGCCUCCUUCCCUUCCUCCAUCACGCUCUCUGUGGGGUCGGCCCCAGCACACUUUCUGCAGAGCCUGGCUCGUCCUCGUCUCCCCAUCAGUUACCUCUGGAGCCUUGUGCUGCAUCUUCAACCCCAUGGAACAGAGAAUGCGGGUCUGAAGAGCUGCACCCUCGCUGCAUUAUUUUCAGGAUGGGCUUAUCCCUUCCAUCUUUCUGGGGCUGGAACCUACAUCACAAGGAGGCUUCAGGCGUCCUUGCUUGGGGGGCGACCCUCCUGAUUCUAUAUUUGUAGUUUGUACUGUUUUUCUUAGAAGGCCCCCCCCAAACUGUCUAAGCUAUGCACGAAAUGUAGGAGCUGCUCCCGUUCGUGCCUCUCUCCAGAUGGGAAGUAGCUGCGACUACUCAUCACUCCGCGGGAGCUCUGCUGUCCAACGAGAAGCAUCUCUCCCCAGGACUCCUAAGCAGCAGCCCGGGGCAUUUGAUAAUGAAAACGGUCAGUCGGUCAGGAAAACCUAACAGUCAAAUGUGUGUGUUGCACAUAAAGGAGUUUCCAAGAACCGGAAGCAAAGUUUGACGAAAUUAAAGGCAGACAGACAAUUCUACUGGGGUGAUGGGUAUUUUAACAUCUAAAUCACUUGUUCUCUCAGCAACUGGUCAAACGAGACCAGAAAAAACACAGACACAGGUGUUUUGAACAAAUCUCAUCUCCUUGCCCUCACUGGUGUUGGGGUCCAGGCCACCUUUGUCAGAAAACUGUCCUGAGGAUGGAGCCGCGGUUUGCUUUCACCUCUGCAAGUCACAGCACGCAGCAGCACCUUCAGACCUGCACACGGGACACCCUCCCUUCCCGCAACAGUUGUCAGAAGAAGCGGCACAUCUCUGGGCACGUGGUCUGGUAGGUGGUGGCCACCCGGAACUUUCAGGGAGACGCCCACGCCAAGUUCCAAGGGUCAGAGUGCGGUUAGCGCCGCACAAAGGGGCCCUUUCUAUGGGCUUGGGGUCGGGGGAGGCGGGGGACCUUGUAGGUUGCAACACGACCCCCUUUGCCCUCCUUCGAGCGGAGGACCCACGUUGGGGCCUUGCAAUCUGAGUUCGCCGUAGCAGAGCCCCGAGCCCCAGGCCGCAGGAGAGACAGGCACCUGCCCGGCACCUGCUCUGUGAGGUCGGGUGCGGCCCGAGGACGGCCCUCGGGGUACCUGGGACCCCGCCCCCCCCACCCGGCCGCGUCACGAGGCUGCGGUUAGGGCUGGGGGUGCGGGGUCCACGUGCAGACGGAUCGCCUUCCGCUUCCCGAGACACCGUCCCUUCCGCCCACAGCCGGGCCCGCAGCGCCCUGGGGACAGGCAGGCGCUAGACAAGACGCACCAGCCGUGCUAAUUGUCCUCCGCCUUCCAGCGCCGCGGGGACGCCUCGGCCCUGGACGGUUUGCGAGCGCUCAGCUUCCGCCUGAGGGAGGAGAACUUGUCGCCCAGGACUCGGCGCAGCCCCGCGCCGUCUCGGCCGCAGGGCGGGUCCUGCCGGGGGGCCGGGAGCCGCCCCGUGAACAGGUCCCAGCGGGCCAGGGCGUCCACGGCGCCGUCCACCCGCGCCAGCUCCUCCUCAGUCACGUCCCUCUCCAGGGCCUGGAUGCAGGCCGCCAGCCAGCGCCCGUGCUCCGCCAGGGCCUCCCCCGGGCUCUCUGCGGCCGCCAGGGAGCCCAGCCCGUCCUCAGGCUCCAGCUCCGGGCCCGCGGGGAAGGCGUGGCUCCAGGCGUCCGGGGACAGGGGCUCCGACAGGCCGCUGCCAGGCUCCGAGUCGCUCUCGCCGCACAGGCCCGAGUCCGCGCUGCAGGGCAGGGUGUCCUCCGACACGGACGGCUCCCCGGCCGCCGGCCCAGGCCGCGUCCCCGCCGCCGCUAGCGUCCAGGUGUACAGUCUCUACGAGGGAGAGACGCGGGCUGAGUCGGCCUGUCCGGCCCCUUCCCUCGCCAGGGAGCUGCCAGGAGACCCAGCCCCUCUCCCGAGGGGACCCCACUGUGCCCACGACCCAGGGCGAGUGGCGGUCUGGCGCCACAAGGGCCCUCGGAAUGGAGCCUCUAGAGACAGCGAGCUUGCAGGGGCUUUGCGAGCCCGACCGUUAUUCGGGGAUAAACUGAGCUGACUUGUUAACACUCUGCUCAAAGCAAAGGGAAUCAUGGUUUUCCUACAUCCCACUAGCACCUCUGCGCGUGGUGCAUGCGGGCAUCAGAGACGCCCGCGGUCAGCUACUGCCCACCUCCUCCCCACUCUCCUUCCGUGAUGGCUGAGAACCGGCCGUGGUGGAGUCGUCACACGAUGGAAACUGGCAGAUACGCCCAAUCGAGGAUUUUUCCUUAGAGGACGCUUACCAGCACACCACCGACUGAUGGGAACAGAUCCAGAGCAGGCCCAGGGCGCCCCCCUCGAGGUUAGGAGUCGCGGGAAGGCACGCGUCAGGGGAGGGGGACGAAGGGCCUGAAAGUUCGGAUCCGAUAGGCAAGCAAGACCCCAAGAAAGGAAGUGGUGAGAAACCCCAGACCUUGUGCAGGCCGCGGCUGCCCCGCUUCACCUUACACGCACACGAGGAUGAUGGGCAGCUGACAGCCAAGCCCCCAGCCCUGCGCUCGGUGGGGCGGGCGCUCUGGUGACGGUGACGCCCUGGCCCGGCGCAUCCUGCUGAGCGCCGUCAGCCAGUCGGCAGCAGAGGCACCUCCCUACGGGGGCACUGCCUCUGGGUCCCCUCUGCAGCGAGGCAGGCCGCCUCCUCAGCGCCCCUCGACGCGCUAUUUACCCCAGAGACAUUCAGGGAAGACCCAGGCCGGGAGGCAGCUCAGACCUGGACAUGCCCAGCCCCGUGUUCAGGGGUCCCCGACCAGCAGCAGCCUGGGAGCCCGUUAGAAACGCAGAGCCAACCCCUCCACAAGCACCGGAUCAUAAACUCCUGCCUGUCCAAGAGCCUCUCCCCCGAGCCCAGCCCCCGGACCCAGUGGGCUCCAGCAGCUGACCAUCUCCUAGAGGAGGACGGGCUUCCCAGAAUCUCAGACACAACGCGAUUCACUUAAAGCGUCUGGCUUAAAACUUUGGGUCUUAAAGUUGAGCCCAAGCUGUUUUGUUGGUGGGCCUAUGCCUUCAUUUGAACAAAAAACUUUUUUAACUUGGUAUUUUCAGCCAAAGGUGGAUUUAAAGAAGAAACUACCACUCUUCCAAAAGACUGAAGAGGAGGGAACACUCCCAAAGACAUUCUAUGAAGCCACCAUCACCCUGAUACCA